UAGGGAAUAUUGGUCAAUGGAGGCAACUCUGAACCAGCCAUGCCGCGUGCAGGAAGACGGCCCUCUGGGUUGUAAACUGCUUUUGAAUGGGAAGAAACGAUAGUAUGCGUACUAUUUUGACGGUACCAUUAGAAUAAGCCACGGCUAACUACGUGCCAGCAGCCGCGGUAAUACGUAGGUGGCGAGCGUUAUCCGGAUUUAUUGGGUUUAAAGGGUGCGUAGGCGGUUUAUUAAGUCGGUGGUGAAAGGUAGCAGCUUAACUGUUUUACAUGCUGCCGAUACUGAUAGACUUGAGUUGUUAGAAGGUAGCUAGAAUUCCUGGUGUAGCGGUGAAAUGCUUAGAUACCAGGAGGAAUACCAAUUGCGAAGGCAGGUUACUGCAUACAAACUGACGCUGAGG
rnacentral:rRNA from 1 species